rnacentral:lncRNA from 1 species
AGCACACCAAACCUCAAUUAACUGGCCAAAAAUUUCAGAAAACAACUACAGUUAACUAAGCACUGAAAUUUACAUUAGUCAUGGAUCAAACAAUCUGCUGCAGUCAUUGUAUACAAGGGAAGUUUUCGUUUUCAUGCAUCGAAAGGAGGGAAAAAAUGAACAAUACCUCCAGUCCAGCCGUUGGUAGCUUCAGAUCACACCUGAAUCCCGUCAAAUUCAGGGGGAAUCUAACGCUUUGCCUGGCGCCGCCUAGUUUCCCGGCACGUCAGAUUUCCCCAUUGGCGAUGCGAAGAGAAGCCUGCUACUCGACCGGCCUCAUCACGGCUAGAGGGCCAGUGUUCAGAACUGGCAGCCUACAGACGAGGAAAAGGAAAACCAAAUCAAUAAGAACAGGCUGUAGAGGAGAAUUAGUGGAAAACACGUCACCUGCACUCUCCAGGCCGAGGGACUUCCAUAGACUCCGGCGUGGUGAAGCAGGUGGACUGGAUCUGAAAGAGGAAGCAGGCGGCGUGGUCAACCAAAUCCAAAUCCACAAAGUAUGCCGGGGGAUUAAGCACGUCAGGACAUCAGGGUGAAGGGGGGAAAUAAUAUACAUACCUGUCGGAGUCGACCCCAAACAUCUUGCCGGAGAGCGACGGCGCCCCGUCGGCCUUGGGAGAGACAGGGGAGCGGAGAAGAAGAGUUGUUCCGUGGCUGGGGUAAUUCCACGAGGUCAAGGAUAACGGCAGGAGGCGGCACACGAGCAGGAUAUGGGCCAAACAUGUACGCUGGGCCGAUGUAUUCCGG